GAUGAACGCUGGCGGCGUGCCUAAUACAUGCAAGUAGAACGCUGAAGGAGGAGCUUGCUCUUCUGGAUGAGUUGCGAACGGGUGAGUAACGCGUAGGUAACCUGCCUGGUAGCGGGGGAUAACUAUUGGAAACGAUAGCUAAUACCGCAUGACAACAGUUAUUGCAUGAUAACUGUUUAAAAUGGGCAACUGCUCCACUACCAGAUGGACCUGCGUUGUAUUAGCUAGUUGGCGAGGUAACGGCUCACCAAGGCGACGAUACAUAGCCGACCUGAGAGGGUGAUCGGCCACACUGGGACUGAGACACGGCCCAGACUCCUACGGGAGGCAGCAGUAGGGAAUCUUCGGCAAUGGACGGAAGUCUGACCGAGCAACGCCGCGUGAGUGAAGAAGGUUUUCGGAUCGUAAAGCUCAGUUGUAAGAGAAGAACGAGUGUGAGAGUGGAAAGUUCACACUGUGACGGUAUCUUACCAGAAAGGGACGGCUAACUACGUG
rnacentral:rRNA from 1 species